UUUUUUUUUUUUUUUUUUUUUUUUUUGCUUAUUAGGGCCACACAUGCACCAUGUGAAUGUUCCCAGACUAGUGGUCGAAUCAGAGCUACAGCUGCCAUGGCCACAGUCACAGCAAUGCCAGAUCCAAGCCGUGUCUGCUCACAGCAACUCAGGAUCCUUAACCCACUGAGCAAGGCCAGGGAUCGAACCCACAUCCUCAUGAAUACUUAGAGGGUUUAUUACUGCUGGGCCACAAGAGGAACUCCCUUUUUUUCCAUUUUUGAUGAUAUUUCAUUAUGUGAUAUUUGGAAUUGAGUUAGUAUUUCAAGUCUUUGGUCUAAUUUUAACAUAUACUCUAAAGAUAUAGACUAAUUCUUUGAAACAAAACAAGAAAGUGGUACAUUUCCAUAUGGGGGCAUCAUCCCUUGGUCCUGGGGUUUUUUUGGGGAAGACAUAGGCCUGCGUUGGGAAGAGGUAAUGUGAAACAUCUACUGAAGAAGGUAGUGGACAGAGGAAUGAAAAGUCCCAAUCCACAAUAUUUACUGAAGAGUUUCUGGGGAAUCAGUGCUUCAAUCCCCAACACACACACACACACACACACACACACACACACACACAGAUUUCAAGCUGUAGCUGAACUCUUAUGGCAUUUCUUCCCAUCUUUUCUUCUUUUCAAGUUUGCUUUUGAGUGUUUCUUCUUUCCUUUUUUUUCUUUUCUUUUUUUCUUUUUCAGUUGCACCUGUAGCAUAUGGAAGUUCCCAGGCUAGGUAUCAAAUCAGAACUGCACCUGCCAGCCUAUACCACAGCCACAGCAACUUGGGAUCUGAGCCGUGACUUCGACCUACACCACAGCUCAGGGCAAUGCCAGAUCGUUAACCCACUGAAUGAGGCCAGGGAUUGAACCCACAUCUUCAUGGGUACUGGUCGGGUUAACCCACUGAGCUACAACGGGAACUCCUCUUCUUUCUGAUAUCCAGAGAAAACAUUUCUGCUUUUUAUGGAAGAGGCUUGAAGAGGACUAGGGUGUUUCCAGAAACUGAGAUAUCCCCCCACUGCCCUAGAAUCUUCCAUAUCCUAUUUGAUUCCCAGUUAUGAUAAAAUACCUAAAUUACAUUAUAACUUAUUUUAAAGAUUAUUUGGCUUUGAUUGCCAGUACGGCCCUACAUUUGAUAUCACCUAGGGUUUAAUUCCAGGCUCCUCUGCCCUUUGCGUACCCUCUUAGAAGGAUGUACCCACUGACUGACCUCAGCCCAAGAUGAGCAAUAGAGUUGCGGUGACUCACUUGUGUAUUGAUUUGCUAUGUCUACACAGGCAAAUCAAUCCAAUUGCAUGGUGAUAUUUGUUUGCCUAAAAGGAAUGUCUUGAAACAAAAGAAGGAAAUAAACAUGGAGUAAAGGUGGUUUUAACUUGAUUAUUGCAUGAUGAAUUUGUUGAUUCUUAUCAAUGACAAUUAUUAGAAACAUCCAGUGCUCUUGAUGCUAGGAUUAUGAAUACAAAAGAAACACUCCUGCCACCAGGUUCUGUACAGUGCAGAGGGGAAAUGGGCUCUUAAAGAGAUGAGACUUGUGUGUUACGAUGUAUGAAAACAUGGGAGGGGGUCUGUAAGCCUGCCUCAGGUUCGGAUGGUGGCAGGAAUGGGUAGGGGAGGCUUCAUAGCAGCCUAUUCCUAGAUUAAUAUAACAGGAUUACCAAGUGAAAGAGACAAAUGAGUUGAGGUGGAGGGAGAAGAGAAUGGUAUUGUUGGCAGAGGGUACAGCAUUCCCAAAGCUCUGGAGCCCAGACGUGCAUGUGUACAUGGAGGGGCUGUCAUGGGGUUCAGCAUCGCUUAAGAAUAAAGCAGGGAAAAGGAGGGAUGGGAGGUAGGGCCAGAUAAUUAGGCAGAGGUGUCGUCUGCCAUGUGAAAGAGUUUGGACUUUUUUCUCUAGCUGAUGAGGUGCCAGGAAAGUUUAAAAGGGAACAUGACAUGGCUCUUCCUUUCAUCUGACCAUGACUUUAAUUCCUUCCCACUUUGAGGGACUGCUGGGUAUUUGUCAACCCAGUGGUGUUAGAGGUGUUUUCCCCUGAUGAGUGGACAAGCUGAAUUCUUCAGAGAGAUGCUGCCUGACCCAUAUGGCCCACUGACAGUUUGACAGUUGACAGCUUUUAGUCAGACUAGACUCACUUAAGCUGCUUACCCAUCCUGAGGCGUGCAUGCGGCCAGAGCCCCGGACUUCACAUCAUUCUAGCUGUCUUAAUUGGGCACUAAUUAAAUGUUUUGGCUGGAAACCUCUCCUUGCCAUGGCUGAAUGGACUCAUUUGAGGCCAAUAUUUCAGGGAAACAUCUUGUUAAGCUGAUCUGAUUCUCUGUUUAAAAAGAAAAUGCACAUAUUCAGUUUGUUUCUUCUUAUUUCGGCCCAUGGAUCUAUUAUAUCUGUCUCCUUUUAGAAAAAAAACAUAAAAGUUUAAGAGGAUAUCUGUGUAUCUGUACAUAUGUAUAUAUUAGUGUGUGUAUUCACAUGCAUGUAUGCUACAUAUGUUCAUAUUGUAUCUGUGCUACAUAUAUUCAUAUGUCUGUCUACUCAUACACACAUUGGGCUCAGAAUAGGAGGUGAUGGAAAGCACAGCUUUGCAGUCAGGAAGCUAGAGGUCACAUCUAAAUUUUAUUUAAGAUUGACUUUAGGCUAAACAUGUAACUAACCAGUGUGGGGCUUAGUUUCUGUAUUUGUGAUAGAGUCACAAGAAAGACACGUUGGAAUUUUGCCAUAAUAUUGAAGUAAGAAAUUUGGGGAUGUGGAUGAUUCAUUGUUAAUCCCAGGAGAUUUACAGAAGCAUUGAUGGUGGACAAAGAUGUUUUUCUCCUUUACUUAGCUAUAACAUGCUGAUAAAGAUUUCCUUCUCGGAGUCCCCAUCGUGGCUCAGUGGAAAUGAAUCUGACUAGCAUCCAUGAGGACAUAGGUUCGAUCCUUGGCCUUGCUCAGUGGGUUAAGGACCUGGUGUUGCUGUGAGCUGCGGUGUAGGUCACAGUCACGGCUCGGAUAUGUGUUGCUGUGGCUGUAGUGUAGGCCGGCACCUACGGCUUGGAUUGGAACUCUAGCCUGGGAAUCUCCAUAUGCCACAAGUGAGGCCAUAAAAAGCCAAAAAAAAAAAAAAAAAAAAGAUUUCCUUCUCAAAAAUAUUCCUAAAGCAGGGUAGAUAGCCAGGUGGCUGAGACUCAAGGGGCCACUCUUGAGUCUGUACUACCAAGUGUCCAAGGAGUGCCUGCAGUGUGAAGGGGAAGAGCAGUAGGUGCAGCAGAUACAUUGAAGGAGAAUCAGUGAAUGGACCAUGCAUCUGUGAACCUUCAAGAUUGGUAUGCCUGUGCAUUGGCAUGGACGACCAUUGCUAUGAAAUAGCAGUCGUUUCUUUAGAAAUGUCUCCUCUUGCUGAAACUCAACCUUUCCUGAAUUUGGCUUUUCUGGAAAAAUAAACCAAUACUGUCAUGAUUUUUUUUUUUUUUUGCAAAAUAAUGAUGGUCUUAUUAUAUUAAACAAGGACUAAUGUGAAAAUCAGGAUUUUCAAAGGUUUAAAUUAAUUCCUAAAUUACAAUUUUCUAUGAAAAUUGUCUGUGAAGAAGUACAAUUAGAUAACAGGGUUCGAAGAUGAGGUUUUCUCUGGAGAAGGAAAAAUAAACUGUGCUCCAGUUCAGGCGUCUUGAACCCUCUCCACUGUCUUAAUAGGCACUAAUAUAUAUUGUAUCCAUUAAGUAUAGGUUUACAAGACAAAACCUCAUCAAUUAGCUAUUCUUGAAUACAUUUGCAUUUGAUUACUAAGGAGUAACUUGAUAGUGUUCAACAACAGUGAAAUGGGGCAGAGGAAAACACUGCUCCUCUGAAUGAAAAGUAGAUCUUGAAAACCUCUUUGAUGUGUCUGCCUCUUUAGGUCUUAAGGACACAUGAAAGUGUAUGUUGAACUUUCUAGUAUUCACUUUAUUUAAUGAGAAAUGUUUUCCUUCUUGUUUUGCCACUAUCUCCCUCUUUCAUAUCCAUUCCCCCUCCCCCUUUUUUUGUUCUGAGCAAUGAUUCUGUGUGUUCUUUUCCUAUUUAAAAUUUAAAGAGUUACAUUUGGGAGAGGAACAAUGUAGGGAAAGGAAACCCCUGGAGUGUGUCUGAUGUGAUCGGUCUCCUCUGUGCCACCAUUUUUCCUCCCGCUGUGGGAGCGCUAAAUGAUAAUGCCUGAUACCUUCCUGAAUAAAGCCUGACACGGUUUCCAGCUGUGAGCAUGUGAUCAGUUUUUAUGUUUGAUUUUUGCACACAAGUAUACUACUGCAAGCAUGUCCACAAACUACUUCACAAAUGCUUAAGGGGGGGAAUGGCUAUUGAGUGAAUCCAACAUUAAACAAACACUGAGUGAUUGCAUUAAAAAAUGCAUUUAUUUCAGAAAGCCUGGUUUUGUUUAAACCCAGAACUUUUAAAAAAAAUUUAAUUUAUAUUUGAUGGUCAAAUAUAACCAGACAAGCCCCUCUCAAGGAAUUUACUUUCAGGCUCAUUCUGGUCUGAGAUGAGGUACCCAAAUAGAAAGGAGAUUAUGUUGCUCCCUGUACAUUGCUAUCAUGAUUAAAUAUGAUUGUGAUUAUGCAAUGAAUUGAUUCAUUUGCAAGAGACAUCGACUAAUAUAUCCUCUAUUAUGUCAUCUUCAAGUGGAGUCGUAUAAGCUGUGAUUUUUAAAUCCGUAUUUUUCUUGAAGCAGGAUAUUGCACAUGUAUGGUCCUGGGUUUAGUGACAUAUUUUGGCAAUAUUAUAGUCUUACAUGUCAGAGCAUUUCAUUUCAAUGUCUCUCUUAUAAUAGGUAAUAUAUAUGUCUUAUUGUUAACGUGUUAAUACUCAUAAAAGGCUACCUAUUCAAACCAGUUUUCUGAAUUGGAAAAUAAGAUGCUACUAAAAUAAAAAUAAAUUAUCAGUAUAUUUGUUAAUUCUGAAGACCUACUGCUGUCAUGUAUAAGGUCUGUGGUAUGUUAGGAUGCUCGUUAAACAGUAAAACUUAUAUCCUUCUUCCUGGCUCACUAAUCAGCAUAGUAAAAAAGGGGGGGGAGGGGAAUCCAGAGGAAUAUACCAGCUGGCAAGAAGGAAAGUUAUUUUACUUUUAGCGAUAAGAUGGUUCAACUAUUGGUAGGGAUUUGAUAGUUUAGAGGUGGGAGGUGAGGCACAUAUUUUAUGAAUUAAUGAGAAGUACCUAUAAUUGUAUUUUUUAAAA
rnacentral:lncRNA from 1 species